rnacentral:lncRNA from 1 species
UGCUUUAGUAGGGGAGUAAGGAUGUCUGGGAUUUUCCACCUUGCCUGUGCCAUGCUUGUUAGCCCCUGUGGCCAGUAUAUGAGUGUGAAGGAGGAGUCAGCCUUCUCCAUCUCCUUUGAAAAGUGAUCUCCUCUUUUUUCAAAUGAGAAAGGAUCCCCAGGAUGCUUUUAGGCAAUGACAGUUUCUUUUUUUUUUUUUUUGAGACGGAGUCUUGCACUGUCACCCAGGCUGGAGUGCAGUGGUGCGAUCUCGGCUCACUGCAACCUCUGCCUCCCAGGUUCAAGCGAUUCUCCUGCCUCAGCCUCCCAAGUAGCUGGGAUUACAUGCGCCAGCCACCAUGGCCAGCUAAUUUUUUGUAUUUUUAGUAGAGAUGGGGUUUCCCUAUGUUGGCCAGGCUGGUCUCGAACUCCUGACCUCAGGAGUUCCCAGCCAACAGUUUCUUGACAGAUCAAAUAUGGGGCCCAAGGAUAAAGAACCAACAUUUAACUC